CAGACCACUCUAGCCUUUGAAGUGGAAGGAAAGUGGACAACAUGCAGAAACAGAAGGGGACAGUAAGCAGAGAGAUGAAAACAUUAAGAAGGAAUCAACAGGACAUGCUGGAAAUCCAAAACACAGGAACUGAAAUGAAAAACACCUUUGGUAGGCACAUAAGUAGACUGGACACAACCAGGGAAAGAAUCUAGAUUGAGGAUAUGUCAAUAGAAACUUCCAAAACUGAAAAGAAAAAAGAAUGAAGAAGAUGAAACAGAAUAUCCAAGAAAAGUGGGGAAAUUACAAAAAGUUUAGCAUAUGCAUAAUGGGAAUGCUAGAAGGAGAAGAGAGAAAAGGAACAAAGGAACUAUUUGAAGUAAGGACAGAAUUUUCCAAAAUUAAUGACAUUAAAACCCACAGAUCCAGGAAGCUUAGAAGAUUCUAAACUGGAUAAAUACUAAAAAAUUACACUUGGGCAUAUAUAAUCAAACAGCAGAAAAUGAAAGGCUAUGAGAAAAUCUUGAAAGAGGUCAGAGGGGAGAAAACAACCAAUGUUGCCUACAGAGAAAAAAUAAGAUAUGAAUUACAUUGAACUUUUCUUCAGAAACUAUGCAAAAAGAAAAUGGGAUGAUAUAUUUAAAGUCUUGAAGGCCUAGAAUUUGAUGUCCAGUGAAAUUAUCCUUAGAAAAUAGAGGAAAAAUAAAGACUUUCUCAGACAAACAAAAAUUGAGGGAAAUUGUCACCAGGGGACUUGCCCUGCAAGAAAUGUUAAAAGAAGUUCUUCAAAGAGAUAGAAAUGUUAUACAUCAGAAAUUUGGAUCUACAUGAAGAAAGAGUUUUUGAGAAGGAAUAAAUGAAGACUACUAAACAAUGGAAAGGAACAAGCCACUAAUACCUGGAACAACAUGAAUGAACCUCAAAACAUUAAGCUGAGUGAAAGAAGCCUUGCAUGCAAAAAAGGUUUCCUGGAAUAAGAAUUCAUCGGAAGAAAGCAUUACUCUGUGGAAGUUUGAAAGCCAUUAUCAGUAUUCUCUGCCGAUAGCAAAGGCUCUCUAGUCGGCAACUAUCAGAGCAAAUUCUGUCUCUCCACUCUGUGGUCCUAGGCCCACUGUAGCCACCAGGGAACAGUUCAGCUGAAAUGACCCAUCAACUCCAUUCCUGUUGUUAUUCUUAAAACUUCCUGGCACAGCAUCAGAUACCUGCAUGAAGGAAAAGCUUCUUCAGCCUUCCCUCUCUAUUUGGCUUCAAGUGGGUAUAUCACAGUUAUUGCCAUAUACAGAAAAUUCUGACUGACAUUUCCAGAGCUUUUUGGUGACAGAAGUGAUUUUCACAUUCCCUCAAGCUGGAGCAUAUUUUCACAAGCACUAUUUGGGUUCUUUGGUCAUUCAUCUUUAAAGUAAGAGAACUCCAUCUAGACCACUUCCAUCAUCUUGUGAUUCAUGGAAAACCAUUGACAACAGGAUUACUGACUGAUCUUGGAGUUGUUAGUUUUUAUCAGUUUUAGUGUUUUUAUAGUUAUUUCAUUGGGUGGUUGUAAGAGGUUUUACUAGGGGGUGUUAGGUAGCAUGCACUUUCAAUCAAGCUACCUAUUCAAAAUGUCAGCAUUUUUGCAGUAUCUCCCAAGAUGUUUCUGUUGAAGAAUAAUAUUUGUACUGUGAGAGUUAUAUCUGGAACUCCUGUACUCCAGAAUCAAAAACAAAAAUGUGAAGCAAUAGUUUCUAUUUCACAGGCUAAUUAAAGCAAGAGAUUUGGUAUUUCUUUACAAAAAGAAUGAUGAAGGUAGAUAGUGGCCUGGAAACCAGUGAACCUGAUUGCAAAAUGAAUAUUUAAAAGCCCCUCUGAUUUAAUGUGCUCUUGUUUCCAUUCCCUUUAUUCUUUACAAAGACAAAGAGUCCUCUGUAAAUAUUGCUUUAAGGAUUAUCAGGCUUCAAUUUUCAAUUUUGUCCAAAGGCCAUAAUUUAAACCAUAAUAUUGGCUUUACAAAUGUAAACAGUGAUUGAACCUCUUUCCUUUAGCUAAUAGAAAUGCCAAUGAAAUUAGAGUCAAUUAAAUAAUUGCUUUAUUAACCUAAUGUAUUACUGCUGUAAGACGUGCUGUGACUCAUCCAGUCAGGAGGGGAGCUAGGAGAGAACAAAACUACAUCAACAUAAAGACAAUGGAAACCAGCAUUUUGUAAAAACUUGAUCCAAUAAAAUGAAUAAAGCAUUUAUUGAAAUUUUGA